rnacentral:rRNA from 11 species
GUGAGGGGCCUAAAUACCUUAAGAGUACAAGAUCCUGCCUGAUUUUGGUAGCUAAGCAAGGUCAGCCUUGGUUAAUACUUGGUUGGGAGACCACCAAUGAGUACCAGGUACUAUAGACU